rnacentral:rRNA from 1 species
CCUAGUUGAUCCUGCCAAUAUUCAUAUGCUUAUCUCAAAGAUUAAGUCAUGCAUGUGUAAGUAUGAACUAGUUUAGACUGUGAAACAGUGAAUAGCUUAUAAAAUCAAUUAUAGUUUGUUUGAUGGUAUCUACUACUUGAAUAACCGUAGUAAUUCUAGAGCUAAUACGUGCAACAAACCCUAACUUCUAAAAAAGAUCCAUUUAUUAGAUAAAAAAUCGACACAGGCUUUGCUUAUUACUUUGACGAUUCAUGAUAACUCGAUAGAUCAUACGUCUUUUUGCCAAUGACACAUCAUUCAAAUUUUUACCCUAUCAACUUUCAAUGGUUAUGAUAGUAGCCUGCUAUAGUGAUGAUGAAUGACGAAAAAUUAGGGUUUGACUCCGAAGAAAAAGCUUGAGAAAUGGUUAACACAUCCAAUGAAGGUAACAGGCACGCAAAUUACCUAAUCCUGACACGAGAAGGUAAUGAAAAUAAAUAACAAUACCGAAUUCUAUGAGUUUGGAAUGAGUACAAUCUAAAUCUUUUAACGAUGAUCCAUUUGAAGGCAAGUCUGGUGCCAACAGUCGUGGUAAUUCUAGUUUCAAUAGCAUAUAUUUAAGUUAUUGCAAUUAAAAUGUUCAUAGUUAAAGCUAGGGUUAGAUUAUCCUAUCUAUCUCACGGUGAGCACCGAUCUACUCUUUCCCGUAGUCGGUGAUGUGCUUUUAGCCUUAAUUGGUUGGAUCGUUCCUCUAACAUUGUUACUUUGAAGAAAUUAGAGUGCUUAAAGUAGGCUUACGCUUGUAUUCAUUCAUAUGGGAUAACAUCAUAGGAUUUCGAUCCUAUUAUGUUGGCCUUCGAGAUCGAAAUAAUGAUUAAUAGGAACAGUUGAGGGCAUUCGUAUUUCAUAGUCGGAGAUGAAAUUCUUGAAUUUAUGAAAGACAAAUAACUAGAAAAGCAUUUGCCAAUGAUGUUUUCAUUAAUCAAGAACGAAAGUUGAGGGAUCAAAUAUGAUCAGAUGCAUUCCUAGUCUUAACCAUAAAUGAUGCCGACCAGGGAUGGGUUCACCCUCAAUGUGACACUUGUCUCGAACUCUAUCAGCACACACUAGCCCCUAGUGUAGGUUGUUGCCUUAAACGCCAUCGAUAACAUCUGGCCCUUGGUUGGUGAGGGCAAUCGCAUCCAACACCAUCGACAAAUGUUGGCCCAUUAUUGCCUCAGACACCAUCGCCAGAUGUUAGCCCUUUGUUGCCUCAGACACCAUCACUAGAUGUUGGCACUUACAACAUCCCGUCACGUAUUUAAGUCAUUUGCAAAGGAUUCUAUCCAUCGCUCGAUGAAAAUUGAGCUCCAAGGAGGCCCGCAUGACUUAUCCACCACGAGGGUCGUACCUACAACACGUGCCCUUACGGGCCAUACAGUCAGCAAUCGAACGAUAGGCGUAUGCAUCACUUCUAGCUCAGAUUCUGACUUAGAGGUGUUCAAUCAAAAUCCAACGCAUGGUAGCUUCACGCCACUGGCUUUUCAACCAAGCUCGAUGACCAAUUGUGCCAAUCAACAGUUAUUCUCAUACUAGGUUGAAUUACUAUUUAUAACGCUACUAUCAAUAAUGAAAAAUAACUUACCUCACGACAAUAAAAAAUAUCUUAAAUAAUCUUUAAUAUUUUUUUAAUGAAGAUUAUUAAGGCGU